rnacentral:rRNA from 1 species
AGUGAACGCUGGCGGUAGGCCUAACACAUGCAAGUCGAACGGCAGCACAGUAAGAGCUUGCUCUUACGGGUGGCGAGUGGCGGACGGGUGAGGAAUACAUCGGAAUCUACUUUUUCGUGGGGGAUAACGUAGGGAAACUUACGCUAAUACCGCAUACGACCUACGGGUGAAAGCAGGGGAUCUUCGGACCUUGCGCGAUUGAAUGAGCCGAUGUCGGAUUAGCUAGUUGGCGGGGUAAAGGCCCACCAAGGCGACGAUCCGUAGCUGGUCUGAGAGGAUGAUCAGCCACACUGGAACUGAGACACGGUCCAGACUCCUACGGGAGGCAGCAGUGGGGAAUAUUGGACAAUGGGCGAAAGCCUGAUCCAGCCAUGCCGCGUGAGUGAAGAAGGCCUUCGGGUUGUAAAGCCCUUUUGUUGGGAAAGAAAAGAAGCAGGUUAAUACCCCGAUGUUCUGACGGUACCCAAAGAAUAAGCAACGGCUAACUUCGUG